rnacentral:rRNA from 1 species
UACGUAUGUCGCAAGCGUUAUCCAGAUUUAUUGGGCGUAAAGCGCGUCUAGGCGGCUUAGUAAGUCUGAUAUGAAAAUGCGGGGCUCAACCCCGUAUUGCGUUGGAAACUGCUAAACUAGAGUACUGGAGAGGUAGGCGGAACUACAAGUGUAGAGGUGAAAUUCGUAGAUAUUUGUAGGAAUGCCGAUGGGGAAGCCAGCCUACUGGACAGAUACUGACGCUAAAGCGCGAAAGCAUGGGUAGCAAACAGG